ensembl:lncRNA
AAAAGAUGUAUUUAACAGUGUGAUAUCAUUGUCCAGGCAGAGGCAGAGAUAAGAAAGAGGGCAUGCAUAUGGGUAGGGUCAGGUAUGAGGGCAUUAUAGCAAGCAAGGUUUGCAUUAGCCACAAUAUCACACUGCUCAAUUAGCAUAGCCUGAGACUCUCUUGAAACUGACAACACAAUAUGUGGUCCAACAAGGACAUCUAAAAAGUUGCACUUUUCUUUCAACUUUUCAGCAUUUUUGCAUCUUAGGACAAAAAAAGGACAGCACUCUGGCAUUGUAGCCAAUCCCUGUGAGAACUUACAGUACAUUUAUAACAACAAUAUGACAUUCAGUGCAUUAAUAUGUGUAUCAUACUGUAAAUGUAUGUAUCAUACUGUAUACUGUAUCAGGAAUACACAAAUUGUAUGUUUCACACCAAUGUUACAUGUGUUAUGCUUGGCACUACAUUAGGUAGAACAUUUUUGAUAGAUUAAUGUAUAUAUUUUAAUCAUGAGGUUUAAAUGAAUCUUGGCAGAUGAGCAGUUAUAUGAGUUUGAAAGGUGGGCCUACGGUUCUUGGUGUGCACCACCUGGGAGAGGUGUUUUGGAGCACUGCAGAGGGAGGCAGAUGGCUAUUCAUAUUCCUGAAUCUCAUUACCACUUCGCCAAGCUUCAUAUGAUCACAAAAAAAACAAAAACCCACAAACAGAUGCAUCAGGCCAUCAGAGUACAGUCCAUUCAGGCAGACAAGGGCUUUUUACUGACCAAGAAGGACACUUUCUUGCACACAGACAUGUACAUUUAGCUACGCAUAUAGUACCCCCAUCCCAAUAUCUAUACACACAAGUGCAUAUUAAACAUACAUGUACACAUGUAUAUACACACAGGGAAACUAAACACUGAACUGAAAUCAACAUUGUGACAUUAUUGAAUAAGUACAGUACUAAAUAGUUAAGUUCAGUUUUUGAUCAGACACAUUAUACAUAUGGAAGGAUGAUGGAUGGCUGGAUGGAUGGAUGGAUGAAUGAAUGGAUGAAUUAUGUGAGAGGAGGAAGGACAAACAUACAAUUGGAUGGAUGGAUGGAUGGAUGGAAGGACAUAUGGAUGGAUGGAUGGAUGGAUGGAUGGAUGGAUGGAUGGAUACUACAAUGAAUGAAUGGAUUAGUGGCCAGAUAUAUGACUGAAUGAAUGGUCAUUUUAUCAAUGAAU